GAAUUGAAUUCGUUGAAAUCAUUUACGCCGCUGUACGACGGGGAAUUCAGAAGAAUGUCUUUCAAGCUAGUAUAUCGGAGGUCAUCGCUGGCAUCGGAGUCUCUGGCGCUGGAGGAAUAGCGGGACAAUUUGAAAGAAGAAAGAAAAAGGGGUUGGAUUUGUUGAAGAUUCCAUGGAAUUAGGAGAUUGAAUCGGCCAAUUGAGGCUAUGGAUGGAUCUCAGAGUUUAUGUAUUCAUUAAGAUGCGGCCAAAAGUGAGAAUUUGGUGGGAGGAAAAAUGAAUGAUUCAAUUGUUUGUUACGCACAAAUUCAACUUAUACUUUUAUAUAUAUAUUCUACCAAUAAAAUAGUGAAAAAA